AAUGCAACAGUUGGGCAGGAAAUGUCUGUCCUCACCUAGGUCCGUGGGGUGGAUCCCUAACAAGGGACCACGCCCUCCUCUACCCUGCACUUCCCUUCCCCGGUUUCCUAUUAUUUAAAGAGACCAGGGUCUUCCCUUCCCAGCACUCCCAUAUUAAUUCCACGCAAGUGGAAGUCACCAACAGCUACACCAGCAUUGUCAGAAGGAAUAUUAAUUAAACUGCUGUCGCUGCAGAUUGUGACUGGGGGCCUGUUUGCUUGGAUGUAGGAACAAUUGGAGAAAUUCCAUCGCUGCCCAGCUGACACUGGUGGUCAGCUGCUAAUGACCCUUCCGCUGGAGAGAAGAGGAAGUGGGCUUGGCUCUAACUUGCCCUGAUCCCCUUCCAGCCUGACAUUUCUAUGCACAGAGAACUAAUGGAGUCAGACCAGACUGCAAAUUCCCAUGCUGCCAUGCAGAAGCCAGGAGUAUGAAAUCAAGGUGUCAGAGGGGCUGUACUCCCUCCGAAGGCUGCAGGAGAAAAUCUAUUGCUUGCCUCUUCUACCUUUUGGUGGUUCCAGGAGUUCCUUGGCUUGUGAUCACAUCACUGAAAUCUUAACCUACCUGGUCAUACUGCUGCCUCUUCUUCUCUCUCAAAACUUCUCCUGCCUCUCUUCAUACUUGUGAUUGCAUUUAGGGUCCAUCUGGGUACUCCAGGAAAAACUCCUACUGUCAAGAUUUAACUUAAUCAUAUCUUAUGUCAUAUAAAGUCAUGUUCAAUAUUUUACAACAUAAAAUAAUAGUCACAGUUUCUGGAGAUAAGGACAUGGGCGUGUCUUUUGGGGGAUCAUCCUUCAAUCCAUUGCAUCUAUCUAUCAGUGAUCACCCCAACCCAAAUAAACCCGCAUAAUAUUU
rnacentral:lncRNA from 1 species